rnacentral:rRNA from 1 species
GACGAACGCUGGCGGCGUGCUUAACACAUGCAAGUCGAACGGUAAGGCCCUUCGGGGUACACGAGUGGCGAACGGGUGAGUAACACGUGGGUGAUCUGCCCUGCACUUCGGGAUAAGCCUGGGAAACUGGGUCUAAUACCGGAUAGGACCACUGCCUGCAUGGGUGGUGGUGGAAAGCUUUUGCGGUGUGGGAUGGGCCCGCGGCCUAUCAGCUUGUUGGUGGGGUGAUGGCCUACCAAGGCGACGACGGGUAGCCGGCCUGAGAGGGUGACCGGCCACACUGGGACUGAGAUACGGCCCAGACUCCUACGGGAGGCAGCAGUGGGGAAUAUUGCACAAUGGGCGCAAGCCUGAUGCAGCGACGCCGCGUGAGGGAUGACGGCCUUCGGGUUGUAAACCUCUUUCAGCAGGGAAGAAGCCGCAAGGUGACGGUACCUGCAGAAGAAGCACCGGCUAACUACGUGCCAGCCGCCGCCGUAA